GCAUGCUUCCCCUACCACGGAGCCCUGAUGCUGGCUGGCUUAAGUUUUCAUCACUGGUGUAUGGUGUAUCUUAGCAAUGGAAGCUGAAAUAAAUAAUGUCAGAAGAAAAAGUGAAAGUGGCAAGAAGAGAAAUCUAAAUAUCUUGGAGUUACUUUGUGCCAGUUGUUCAUAAUGAUUUUACAAGCAUCAAACAUCCUGCAUCAAAUAUCAAUUGGACAAACUUGUACCUUUCAUGAUGAACUAUGUGUUCAUGUGCGAAAAUUGUUUAUUAACUGGUUUGGAGAGCUUUAAGAAGAAUCAGACACAUAUGUCAGCAAGAAUGUGACCAAAAAAUUCUAUUUCACGAAGACAAGGAUAUCAUAUCUCUCAUUGAGUACCACUGGGAGAGUAUCACCACAAUGUCUCGUAGAGUCAUUUAAUCCAUGUUAUGAUCCGGAAAGCGUUGCUUAAAAAUGUCGGGACUCUAUUUACGAUGGAUAAUACUUUCGAAGGUCAACUCUUCAGCCUGGUGAAUUCUUAUCUUACAUUAAUUAAACCGAAUUAUGAGAUGAUGAUUAGGAAUGGUCACCUUCGAGCGACAGAAAUGGGUGUACAACACAUCGAUUUAAAAGCACCAUUACAAAGUAUAUCAUGCAGCGUCUGAUUAUUGUACGAAAGGGCCGGUCGAUGACACUUAAUAGUGUCCGAAGACUGUAGACUUUUGAUUGUUAUAAAUGCGAAAAUCGUCGCGGAAUAUGAAGCGUAGUUUUCCAUUAAAAAUUCUGUUUCAUGCAUUUGCUGUGAGUGUACAUCAAUGUGAUACGCACGAACUGCACGAAGACGCUUGCGCUGCAAAAGCGAUAUCGUUUCUAGGAACUAUAUACGAUCGAUUGCAAGAUAAAAAGAAUGUCUUCUACAAUUUGUAAGGGUUGUAGGAUUAAAAGUAAUAUUUUUUUGCAUGUGUGUCAGAGCAACAUAAAUAAAACUAGGCUCUUUGAGGAUUCGAUUGUUUGUACAUAAGUAUUUUUAAAGAAAUUUUGUGAUGACAGUAACAGCAAUUCUCACGAAUUUGCUCUAAAUAUUGAUAUGGAUUUUGGAUAUUAUUUGGAUAUUAUUAUUGUCAAUAUUGAGAAAAUUAAAUUUUUUUCCAACAAUGAUAAAAGUAGAUUUGUAUAUAAAUAUUAAAAUGCUAUACAAAUGGUUAUUCUAUGAACGUGCGAUUGUAUGAAAUUUUUUCUUUGCACAUAUCAGUUGUAUUGGAAAACGGAAUUUUUUUCUGAUGAUGAAAAUGGAAAAUGCUACAAACAGCUUGUUCUAUUAUUAUUAAUAAUA